AGAGUUUGAUCCUGGCUCAGAUUGAACGCUGGCGGCAUGCCUUACACAUGCAAGUCGAGCGGCAGCGCGGGGGCAACCCUGGCGGCGAGCGGCGAACGGGUGAGUAAUACAUCGGAACGUGUCCAGUAGCGGGGGAUAACCUGUCGAAAGAUAGGCUAAUACCGCAUACGACCUACGGGUGAAAGCGGGGGACCGCAAGGCCUCGCACUAUUGGAGCGGCCGAUGUCGGAUUAGCUAGUUGGCGGGGUAACGGCCCACCAAGGCGACGAUCCGUAGCUGGUCUGAGAGGACGACCAGCCACACUGGAACUGAGACACGGUCCAGACUCCUACGGGAGGCAGCAGUGGGGAAUUUUGGACAAUGGGCGCAAGCCUGAUCCAGCCAUGCCGCGUGAGUGAAGAAGGCCUUCGGGUUGUAAAGCUCUUUCGGCGGGGAAGAAACGGUCCGUGCCAACACCACGGACUAAUGACUUACUCGCAGAAGAG
rnacentral:rRNA from 1 species